UGAGUGACCUGCCGAUUUGUGGGGGAUAGCCGGGCCAACGCCCGGGUAAUACCGCAUACGCUCUUCUUGGGGCUUCUCUAGAAGAGGAAGCCUCCGGGGCAAAUCGAGGGACUCGUGGCCUAUCAGCUAGUUGGCGAGGUAACGGCUCACCAAGGCUACGACGGGUAGCUGGUCUGAGAGGAUGGCCAGCCACAUUGGGACUGAGAUACGGCCCAGACCUCCGUACGGGAGCAGCAGG
rnacentral:rRNA from 1 species